rnacentral:rRNA from 1 species
AGCUUGCAUAACUGGGUAGUAGUGAAAAACAAAACCAAUAAAGCUUGGCAGUUAUUAUCGACCUUAGAGAAACUUGUUUUAUAAUCGACAAUACUCGAUAAAUUUCGCUUAAAAAUACAGUUUAUAUACCGCCGUUACCGAGAUUAAAAAAAGAAAAUCACUUAAUCAUGCGCAAUAAGAAAAUCAGGUCAAGGUAUAGCCAACUUUUAAGAAAAAAUUAGUUACAAAUAAAAAAUAUUUAAGGAAAAAUAUUAAAAAAUAAAUAGAAAAAGAAUCUAAAAACAACAUUUUAUUAAAAAUAAAAAACGAAACUGAAGACAAUAAUGC